rnacentral:tRNA from 1 species
GAUAUAGCUUCAUUGGUAGAGUGUUUGCUUUCCAUGCACAAGACCCUGUGUUCAAUCCCCAGCAUGACA